rnacentral:miRNA from 1 species
GUGAGUGGCCAGGCUGGGGCUGGUGACAGCAGCAUGAAGCACCCUUCAGAGGGCAGCUAUUAUCUUUCCCACAGAGAGAAGACAUCCUUGAUUA